rnacentral:rRNA from 1 species
GAUGAACGCUGGCGGCGUGCCUAAUACAUGCAAGUCGAACGCAUAGCGAAAGGUGCUUGCACCUUUCACGUGAGUGGCGAACGGGUGAGUAACACGUGGACAACCUGCCUCAAGGCUGGGGAUAACAUUUGGAAACAGAUGCUAAUACCGAAUAAAACUUAGUGUCGCAUGACACAAAGUUAAAAGGCGCUUCGGCGUCACCUAGAGAUGGAUCCGCGGUGCAUUAGUUAGUUGGUGGGGUAAAGGCCUACCAAGACAAUGAUGCAUAGCCGAGUUGAGAGACUGAUCGGCCACAUUGGGACUGAGACACGGCCCAAACUCCUACGGGAGGCUGCAGUAGGGAAUCUUCCACAAUGGGCGAAAGCCUGAUGGAGCAACGCCGCGUGUGUGAUGAAGGCGUUCGGGUCGUAAAGCACUGUUGUAUGGGAAGAACAGCUAGAAUAGGAAAUGAUUUUAGUUUGACGGUACCAUACCAGAAAGGGACGGCUAAAUACGUG